ACACAUGAGCCAGCCACUGGGAUGGGAACAGGCUGCCUCCAGUCCUGUGCUGGGUGGCAGCUAGGCUUUACGAAGCUGUGACUCUUUCAGAUGCUUGUUUUUGACUGACGUGACAAACCUCAUAGCUGGCAUCCAGUUACAAAUGAAGAGCUGGGGAACGGGCAGAAUUUUAAUGUGCUUGAAGGAGAAAAAUAGCCAUGUUCCAGUUUCUGCCUCCCAAAGAACUGACACCAACUACAGCAAUGAACUUCAUGACACUGAUCCCUGGGAAUGAAGCAGCCUCAGAAAAAUCACUGGACAGGAGGAGAAACUCAACUGAAGGUGUUUGACAGCAGUGUUCUGACUGAUGACAUUCCAGCUUCACCCAAGGACUGUGCCACAUGCCAUCAAAGAAUGGGUCACAUACAACUGUGUCUGCUGUUAAUGCUGCCAAGCGCUCUGGACGUCUUCUGUGCUUCCAAAUGCAACAAUGCCCUGUAGGGACUGAAAGGCCUCACUUAGCGUGUCUUCCCGGAUAGAGAAAAGGGAACCUUCAGAACGAAAAUGAGAUGUCUCUUAAGGAAAGCGUUCUUCCCUCUGCAUUACUGAAAAGCAGGAAUUGUUUUAAGCAGAACAAAAGCAAUACCAAAAGGAAACGUUUGCAAUAUUCAGUAUUCAACGCUGACGCUUUCAAAAGAUGUGUUUCCUUGCGGAGCCAAGCAGUUGACUCCCUGCCACUAAUACCAUUAUUUAUAGUGUGGCACAGGCAAAGGGACUUAAUCCAGCAGACCCCAAAUAGGGCUUCUUCAUUCAUAAGAAAUAUAAGGAAAGUGUGUCUGUACAGCGUCUGGCAAAGUAGUCCUCUGAUCCCUUGCUGGACAGGGAGGAGCUGCCAGCAUUAAGAUGUGAGGUGAGGGCACAUGGAUACCUGGAUCUGCACAAUGGAGAAGUGGAGGCAUUGGGGAAACUUGUGUCUUUUAACCCAGGAAACUGCAGGUGUAAGAUGCCUCAAAGGACAGAAGAGCAAAGGAUGCUGCAACAGCAGACUAAAGUUUGGUAUUUUACUAUUUCAGAUGCUCAGGUGGACUGGGUUCUGUUUUUCGUUCAAGUCUCAUCUUUGUCCCUACUUAGAUGACUUGAUUUCUGCUGAGUAUUUCCCUUUUCUUUUACAGCUGUAAUGGAGCAACUGUAUGACAAAAAGUCCUGUAUUUCUUCUUCUCGUCAGUUCUGAUAAUGCAGGUGGGCAUUUGAAUUAAAUGCCACAGCAGCAGUUCAUAGAAGAGCAAAGGUGAUGCUGGGUUUCAUUCCUCUUUGCCUGGGAAGCAAGCUGGCAUUGGGCCUGGGCCAGCUGGGGUUUACCAGGUGCAGCCUCUGAGCUAGGAGUUUUGCUGAAGAAAUCUCUUCUGUGAGAGCACAGUAGCACUCAUCAUCUUCAUCUGGCAGAUGGUGAAGCACUAAAAGACCUCUGAAAGGC